UGAACGUCUCCUUUAUGCUGCCAACAACGACGCCAGCCAGUCAGCGGCUUCCUUUUGCGCUACUCUGCAUCCUGGUGGCCGGCACCGGAACUACACCCACUGGCUCUCUACCCAACAUUCAUUCACAAAAAAAGCAAAACACGUGAAAAUAAAGAAACAUGCACUUGUUUGUAAAUUACAGUUGUCGUGACAGAAAAUAUAACUCUAGCUGUAACAAAAAAAAAGUUCCUCUCGCCCCUCCCUUUUUAUGAACAAUUUACAUAAAUACAAAAUGAGUUGAAAUUAAUCAUCAUCUUUUUUGGGUAUGAGUUUGUUGAUGUCUUUCUUGUAAUGGUUAAAACAUUUUUUUUCAUUGCAAACUAAAAAAAUAAUUAAUAAAUAAAUAGUAGUCAUGCUGUUACUAAAACAUGUUUAGCCUUCUGGAGGAAGAGAAAAAAUUGUGAGCUACAUGACUCAGCAGAAAUGACAACACCAAGCUAAUUUCUAGACCUAAGAUUUCAGUCUCUCAACAUCCAUCCAUCCAUUUCCUGAGCCGCUUCUCCUCACUAGGGUCGCAGGAGUGCUGGAGCCUAUUGCAGCUAUCAUCGGGCAGGAGGCGGGGUACAGCCUGAACUGCUUGCCAGCCAAUCUCGGGCACAUACAAACAAACAACCAUCCACACUCACAUUCACACCUACGGGCAAUUUAGAGUUGUCAAUUAACCUACCAUGCAUGUUUUUGGGAUGUGGGAGGAAACCGGAGUGCCCGGAGAAAACCCACGCAGGCACGGGGAGAAGAUGCAAACUCCACACAGGUGGGGCCGGGAUUUGAACCCCGGUCCCCUGAACUGUGAAGCAGAUGUGCUAACCAGUUGUUCACCGUGCCGGCCAAUUUUAAUACCAUUAAAAUAAAAUUGUUUUGCCUGGC